CCUACGUGUGGCAGCCGUGAGGAAUAUUGGUCAAUGGGCGAGAGCCUGAACCAGCCAAGUCGCGUGAGGGAGUACUGCCCUAUGGGUUGUAAACCUCUUUUGUCGGGGAGCAAAAGCCGGACGUGUCCGGCUGUGAGAGUACCCGAAGAAAAAGCAUCGGCUAACUCAGUGCCAGCAGCCGCGGUAAUACGGGGGAUGCGAGCGUUAUCCGGAUUUAUUGGGUUUAAAGGGUGCGCAGGCGGUUUUUUAAGUCAGCGGUCAAAUCGUGGGGCUCAACCCCAUCCAGCCGUUGAAACUGGCGUUCUUGAGUAGGCGAGAAGUAUGCGGAAUGCGUGGUGUAGCGGUGAAAGGCAGAGAUAUCACGCAGAACUCCGAUUGCGAAGGCAGCAUACCGGCGCCCAACUGACGCUGAAGCACGAAAGCGUGGGUAUCGAACAGGAUUAGAUACCCGAGUAGUC
rnacentral:rRNA from 1 species